rnacentral:sRNA from 1 species
CAAUUUCUCAAAUUGGAUUAGAACAACUUGUCCUGUUAUGACCCAAUCCUUUGCAGCGUGAGCACCUGUUCUGCUGCGUCCUUCCUGUCUUAGGUUUCUACGUUUACCAUGUUAACCAACAUGUUGCAUUAGUUUGGUUAGUUUUUCAAAAGCUUAGACAAUGUACGAGAUUUACAAAAUAUUUAUCUAACCUUAUAUUCCCCUGUUGAUGGUAUGCUUGCUACCUUAGGCCUCCCUGAUGGUCUCCGAGUAUAUGGUGGAAGCAUGGAACGGUGUGGGAGCUCUUCGGGUAUGUCUUCUUCUUUGCCAUUUGCUUCAGGGAAUACUGCUCCUUUGUAACUCGCAACCCAUGAGUGUGGUUUGAAAUAAUCAUCAACUAAAGCCUUGUACGAGAGGUUAAUGCUAUUGGCAGCCACCAAAGCAUGACCACAUGGUAUCUUCAGUUUAUCAUAUCUCUUGCAGGUGCACUGCUUCUUUUCUAGAUCAACAAAAUUGCUACCACCUAGCUUCCCAACUACCUCGUAGCUCCAGCUGGUUACCCUCCCAACCUUGCUUCCACUUGAUGUUGUCAA